GGAGCUUUUCAGGUUAGGGGCAGGACAGAGAGGGAGGAGCUUGUCAGGUUAGGGGCAGGACAGAGAGGGAGGAGCUUGUCAGGUUAGGGGCAGGACAGAGAGGGAGGAGCUUGUCAGGGGCAGGACAGAGAGGGUGUCCCAGACUGCACCCUACUCCCUAAUAUAUACAGUACUCUGAGUCCCAAUGGCACCCUACUCCCUAAUAUAUACAGUACACUGAGUCCCAAUGGCACCCUAUUCCCUAAUAUAUACAGUACUCUGAUUCCCAAUGGCACCCUAUUCCCUAAUAUAUACAGUACACUGAGUCCCAAUGGCACCCUAUUCCCUAAUAUAUACAGUACACUGAUUCCCAAUGGCACCCUAUUCCCUAAAAAGUGUACUACUGCUGACCAGGGCCCGUAGGACUCUAGUUAAAAGUAGUGAACUAUAUAGGUUGGUC
ensembl:lncRNA